rnacentral:sRNA from 1 species
GGAAGUACAGUAAAGAAGCUGUGUUUGAAGGCAUUGCUGAGUUUGAAGUCAACAAUGAAAUUCUACAUCCAGAGAUCACGGAGUGCCGUGUGUUUAAGACUGACCUUGAACUUCAAGCUAUCAGAUAUGCCAACAAAA